AACAUUUCUUUCUGUUCAGAAUGAUACACUUUGGCUUGUGAAAUAUUUAACUCAUUUGCAACAAACUGUUAGCAAGUCACACUAGCUUGUAUAAAUGUAACUUGCUUGUAGCACAAAUCCAGCUUCAGCAAUAGAGAGCGGAUGUCAUGGGGAAUGAGCUGAUGUAACCUAGCCAAGGGCAUGGCACUAUUUUACAGACAAAAGGAGAACAAUGACUGAGUUGGAUACAGCAGUGGAUUAAGGACACUUUUAUGUUUUAACAGCCACUUACAUGAGUCUGUUCUCAACCAUAGACAGACAGGAUAGGUAGCUGGGGGUGGCUUUUCCAUAUCGGUAUAUCUCCUGCUUGGGACGCUUUCAAUCAAUAGGACAGACAGGAGGUUCAUCAAUGUUAAAGCUAUAGGGAGGAAGAAGUGAGUGUGGUACUUGUGUCCGCUCAUACCAGCUGCAGUCCAGCAGUGACCUUGGUAAGAAUUGGAUCUGUGCUGUUGUCUGUGGGCAUGGGCUGUCACUGGCUCUCACCCCAGACCUCUGAGAUGUCAGGACAAAAUCUCAACCAUUAUGAAGUUGUCUUUUUGCUUAUGUACAUGACAUUUUGUUUUCUUUGUCUGUGUUCAUAUUUUUUUCUCCCAAAAUAGGCAUAAGUUGAACUUUUAGAAAGGCAGAUGUGUAACUUCAUUAGGUGUUUAUUGUGAAAUGUCAAACGCUGAUUUAUUAGCUCGGCAAGGUAAUGCCAAAGAAACCUAGAGGAGGCUUACAGCCUGGCUGGAAACCCAGCAAGUCUUUUCCUCUGUAGCUGCUCUAGCCUUGGAUCGCUUAUCAAGAGGAGGAAUGUGCUUUCGACUUUGAAUUGUGUUCUUUCAAGUGUUUUCUCUAUGGAUCAGAGUCUUCAACAAGCAUACAUAAUGUUCAGAAGAUAAGGUUGGGUGAAUACUGUACAGGAGCCAGGCUCUGAAAGAAUCUAAGAUGAGGGUAUUUGAAAUUAAAGUAUUGUAAGCUGCACUAAGUGGCAGUGCCAUCUGACAUUUCAACUCCAUUUAGUCAGACACAGCUCUUCCUCCACAAAGCAAAGUCACUACUGGUUCCUAGAAAUAAUAUCUCAUGGUAUCUUGCUGAGAACAAAUGAAAAUUUUAGUGUGCUUACUUAUAGAUAAUUAGGAUAGACAGAUAGAAAAGUGGGUUUAAGGAGUUUUGAAAAUUUACUUUAAUGACUGACAAAUCAGAGAAAAUGGUGGCUGUGUGUGGAGCUUAAUCCCAGAUAGGGAAGAGAAGGUACCGUUUUGCCUGUCCUGACAUGUAUUUGGUCCUAACAAAAGUAAUGCUGUCUUAUGCUACUAGGUUUGGGUGUUGCUUCAAUCUCUAAGUAAUUUAGAGACUCUCACAAAAGCUGAUGACAGUUUUCUAAUAAAUCCUCAUUUUUUAGAGUCUAAAUGUUGACACGUAUCUUGGAACAUCCACUUAGGCAGCUAAGUUCAAAGGUUCAGCUGUGGAUAUGUGUGAGGCCAUCUUAACAAUAACCACCUGACCUGAUUCAGUGCUAGGUAAAUGGCAAUGUUGAUAGCUCUCCCAUAUAGAAGAAAAAUAAAUACAGAAGUUAAUACAAUACAUAAUUAAAUACUAAAGCAGAUAAGUAUGAUCAAAACCUUGAGAAAGCACAAUCAAAAGAAUACAUGUCUUCCAGAUUAGUACAAAUUAGGAUAUUUGUAUGAAUACAUUCACAAUUAAAUGAGAGACUGACAUAGAAUAUGUAUCUUAGUAAUUUUACAAUGAAAAGCUCUGGAAACUGCAGAUUACUUAAAUCAACU
rnacentral:lncRNA from 1 species